rnacentral:rRNA from 1 species
UGGAGGCAGCAGUGGGGAAUAUUGGACAAUGGGCGCAAGCCUGAUCCAGCCAUGCCGCGCGGGUGAAGAAGGCCUUCGGGUUGUAAAGCCCUUUUGUCCGGAAAGAAAAGCACGGGAUUAAUACCCUCGUGUGAUGACGGUACCGGAAGAAUAAGCACCGGCUAACUUCGUGCCAGCAGCCGCGGUAAUACGAAGGGUGCAAGCGUUACUCGGAAUUACUGGGCGUAAAGCGUGCGUAGGUGGUUUGUUAAGUCUGUCGUGAAAUCCCCGGGCUCAACCUGGGAAUGGCGAUGGAUACUGGCAAGCUAGAGUGAGGUAGAGGAGAGUGGAAUUCCCGGUGUAGCAGUGAAAUGCGUAGAGAUCGGGAGGAACAUCAGUUGCGAAGGCGGCUCUCUGGACCAUCACUGACACUGAGGCACGAAAGCGUGGGGAGCAAACAGGAUUAGAUACCCCGGUAGUCCU